GGAAACGUGCCCGAAACAUAAGGACCUCCUUGAUAGGGAGACCCACAUGGGCUUAAAUCCCAUCGCUUCCU
rnacentral:tRNA from 1 species